AUGCUGCGUGCAAACUGGCUUGAAACAACGCUUUGGUCAGUCUGUCCCAUAUGUCAAUCUGUCAUAUAUGAUGUUAAUGAAUCAAAUCUAGUAUCUUCAAUUUAUUCGAUAAAAAUUUGAACACCACAACUACAAUGAUAAAAUUUUAGCUUUCAAACAUUUGUCGGAGUCCUUAGACCAGUGUGGAAUAAACGCUCUUAGGCUGGAGUAGUCGAAAAGAUAACAGAGAAUAAAAUAUGGUUGAUGCCCACGAUGGGACAUUGAUCGACGGGACAAAUGAUUCGUCCAUUGAUUUGAACGAGAAUGGAAAAAGGGCGUUAAUUGUUAUGGCUGAAGGUGUAGAUCUUCUAGAUAUAAAACGAAUAAGAAAUGUACUGAGGAAGGGUGGUGUAGAAGCUGUCAUAGCAAGUUUAGAUGACUUUUCUCCGUGUGAAGUAGCGGUAACGUUUUUUAUCAGGUCGACAUAAAGCUUUCCACUGCUUUGAAAGAGCCAGCAUUUGAUGUACUUGUUUUAUCUGGUGGUCUCAUGGAAGCAAAGCUGCUCGGAGAGAAAUAGUUGGUGCGCUACUAAAAAAAUAUGAAGAAGAUUAUGGGUGGGUUGUUGCGAUAGGAAAGGGUCUAUCUGUACUACAAGAACAUUUCAUUGGAGUUGGGAAAAUGCUAACAUGGCAUCCAUCGAUUGAACAUAAAAUUGAAGGAUCCAAGUGUAUGAAAUACAAGUAUAUCGCCGACGACGUUUUCGUUGACGUCAUUAUGUUUUGAUAUUUUCAAUUCAUCUCCAAUCAUUAUUUCUCUCAUUAUGCAAAAAUCUUCAGUCGUAGUGCAGCAGAGAACGUUGCUAGAAAGUUGUCUAUUGAAUAUAACGACGGAUACUGUCCCGAUUGAUGCAGCAGUUGUAUACAAAGAAAUCGAACCUGAUAUUGCGGAUCGUUUUGCACGCCCAGCUUGCUGUAAUGCAGAUGAUCCAAAUGUAGCUGAAUGGGAAGAAAACAGAAUUAUCGAGGAUAUAUUACAAAGAGAAUACAUAUACAAUAGAAUGCAAGCUCAGGUGGGGGGAACUUGAAGACAAACCAAAAGACAAGCUUAUAGAAAGAGAACAAUUGAAAAGACAGAUUGAAGAAGAUGAACAAGAGGCAGAAAAUUGGCAGCAAAAGUGGGGAAAAGAUGGCUGCAUAUCAAAGGCCGAAUACGAAAAAUAUAUGAGAGAAUACGCAUACCGAGAUGAAUCGCGUCACAACUCUGGAAUAGAAAGAAGGUACGACAGAUUAGAGCGGAGAAUCGAGAGA